GUGCCAGCAGCCGCGGUAAUACGUAGGCAGCGAGCGUUGUUCGGAGUUACUGGGCGUAAAGGGUGUGUAGGCGGUUGUUUAAGUUUGGUGUGAAAUCUCCCGGCUCAACUGGGAGGGUGCGCCGAAUACUGAAUGACUUGGAGUGCGGGAGAGGAAAGUGGAAUUCCUGGUGUAGCGGUGAAAUGCGUAGAUAUCAGGAGGAACACCGGUGGUGUAGACGGCUUUCUGGACCGUAACUGACGCUGAGACACGAAAGCGUGGGUAGCAAACAGGAUUAGAAACCCCCGUAGUCC
rnacentral:rRNA from 1 species